ensembl:lncRNA
GCGCUGCCUUUGAGAUUGGACAGUAGAUUGAGAGAUGAGAGCGAGAGACAGGAGUGGGAUCAGGAAACUACAGCAGGUUAGUAUGAAGCCUGGGUCCCCAAGAGCUGUAGAGCAGUCAUGGCCCCAGUCACAGGUUUCCUAACUUGUAUGUCAGUGCUCACAGGAUUUCACUUUUAUUGCAUCGAGUUACUACUAUGAGGCCUUUAUUUUCAAUAUAGUAUUUCUUAAGUAUGUUUGUUCAUAAGUGGAAACUACUUGUCAACUCAGAAACAAUUAGGCCGCUUUAGUGAGGUGAUUCAUGAUAUCAUUUAACACUGAAAGAGCAUAUUGCAGCAUUUCAAGGUAACCAUUUGGUAUUAAGUGUAUUUAUAUAAAAAUAUAUUAAAAAUACCCAUUCCUACCUCCCUCCAUUUUGAACACUACAGUAAUCUAUGUCAAGCUGGGUAGAGCAUCACAUUAUCCAAGCAAUUUGAAGUCGUUUUAGUGCAAUACUUGUUUGAAUCAUGAAUUUCUGAGCUAAAGAAAAAAACAAACACCCAUGGAUUUUGGAAUGAACAAACCAUUUUUAAUCAGAAGUAAACAAAAACAGCUUGGCAUAUUUCAUGAAUCACAAAAUUGUUUAUAGAAGUGCCAUUUUACCCAAGAAGCUUACCGACAGUCACUCAGAAGUUCUCCACGAUGGCAGGACACUCCAGACUCCUGGACACAUGGAGAUAUCGAAACACAUAAAAAAAGUAGUUUAAUGUCAUUAAAAUAUUUAAGCAGCAGUGAAUCGUAAGAAACAGAACUUCCAUACAAACAUUUCACAUCUACCUACAAUAGUAGGCUACAGGUACGAUCAAACUUGACAAAAUAAAGUGAUAGAAAAUCUUGUCUGCAGUAUCAUACAAGAGCAUCAAACAGCUUUAUACAUGCUCACACCUGCUACUGCCAGAGUCAGCGUCUUUGCUGCCCCUGUUAUCUAGGUCUGACUGGACAAACUGCAGUUUACAACCAAACAAGUUUGGCAACACUGAAGCUUUUGUCCCAGACCAAAUAAGACAAGACUAAUAAGUUAAGACACUUACCAGCUAUUCCAAUUAGUCUUCAAACCAUCUACAGCCGUUUUCCAUCAGCUGUGUGCUUCAUUAUCAGCCCUUUAACAGAUAAUGAGAAAUGGCUCACUACCACAGCAAAGACUUGUUCGUUUUCAAACCAGUUUUGCCCGAAGUGCCCAAUUAGUGCCGAGAGGGGUCCUCUAUUGCAAGAGUUACAAAUAUCUAUAGAUACUAAUCAUGCGUUCAAGCAGCUGGGAAUUGGGGUCUAGUUAGCCAGAAGGUUAACGUUACCCACACAAAAGUAAAUAGUCAAGUAUCGU